GCCAUAAUUGUGCCACUGUACUCCAGCCUGGGUGACAGAGCAAGACUGUCUCUCAAAAAAGGCAAAGCAAAACAAAACAAAAAACAAGGAACAUGCAUUUUUGUUUAAAGGAAAACGUUCUUUUUUUUAAGUUUAUAAUUUUUUUUUUUUUUUAAACAGAGUCUCACUCUGUCGCCCAGGCUAGAGUGCACUGGCGUGAUCUCAGGUCACUGCAAGCUCCACCUCCCAGGUUCAAGCAAUUCUCCUGCCUCAGCCUCCCAAGUAGCUGGGAUUACAGGUGUGCACCACCACGCCUGGCUAACUUUUGUAUUUUUAGUAGAGAUGAGGUUUCACCAUGUUGGCCAGGCUGGUCUCGAACUCCUGACCUCAAGUGAUCUGCCCGCCUCAGCCUCCCAGAGUGCUGGGAUUAUAGGCGUGAGCCACUGUGCCUGGCCUUAAGUUUAUAAUUUCUUAACAUGGUGUUUAAUUAAGCCUAUUCACAAAUAUUCUUAAAUAACAUACCAAAAGAAUUUACUUAUACUCUAAUAGGAAAGAUUCUACAUUAGGAUGCAGAAUCUUAAGGAAACAAUCUUCAAUUUCUUGACUUAGACAUUCUUGGUAACAGACCCACACAGUAAUUAGGUAGCACUUAUGUAUUAUGAUAUUACCUGGGGUGUUUAUAAGCUCAUCCUUUAAUAAGCUAGACUAAGUGCAGUAAAUCAGCUCACUCUGCAACCAACCAGUCCCACCUCCUAACUGCUCCUGAACUGCAAAGACCAAAAGCCUCAGAGAAGACAUAUUUCCCAAACUUUCUUGCAGCUAAAGCUCUCAGUGUGAAUCAUGUUCCAUCAAUGAAACACACACAUGUGCAAUAUGGAAGAUGAGUGAAAUCCAGGCUAUCUUCCUGAAGCUACUGUUCCUGGCAAGUGUAGCUGUGGGGACUGAGUUUUGGGCAGCAGCAACUAACUCCCAGCUUCCAUGUGCUUGAGAGUCAGUUGCCAGGAUGGCAGCAGCUGCAUCCUCAGUCUAAGAUGGCAGCCAAUGGUGAUGUUUUCAUGAAUCCACCGUUCACGUGGCAGCCUCCUGGAGCUCAGACUGAUGCCUGCUCCUCCAGCCUUCCAAUACCUUUGCAAACACCUGAAUUCCACAUUAAUCUCUCUCUGUUUAGAAUUCCCAGAGUGGCUUCGGUUUCCUGGGCUGAACCCUGCCUGGUAACUCCAUUUUAACAGGCUUCUAGAUCUUUCCUCAAAAACUGUAAAGCUGAUGAUGGUUUUGAAAAAAAUCACGAUUUCUUAACAACGUGGAAGCAGAGAGGUCACCUUUAGCAAAUGUAUGCCUUAAGUGGGUAGAAUUCACUUCAUAAUAACAAAUCAGGUUCAAGACCUCCAAAGACAUAAUGACAAUUAAUUGGCAAACCUCAUCCCCUCUCACACAUUUCUACCCUGUUGACAUUAAAUGAAGGGCCAGAAUUAAGCUACUGAUAAAGACGAACACUUUAUUCUAAUUGUUCUAUGAUUCAUGACCUGUGUUCCAACACCUAGAAACCCAUCAGGAUACAAAUAUAUCACUUAAAAUAAGACACAUAGGGAUGGUUAGUUUUUCUGUCUCAUUCUAUAUUGUUCUGAGAAAUUACAGAUAUUUUCUUCUAAGAAAGGCAUGAUCAACUAUUCAAGUUUUGCUGAAUCUAAGGUAAUGUCAGAAUACUCUUAAACACCUUACGGCCUCAGAUCCCAGUAGUUUAGAAUUCUAGGGAUGAUGUAAAUUUAUAAUCACUGUGAAAAUGUUAUCCUAUCAAAACUCUGUAGAAACAUCUAUGCUUUUGCAAUAACAGCGUAAAAGACCUCUUCUGAUGAGAGAGACAGAGAGAGAGAGAGAGAGGGAGAGAGAAAGAAAAAAGAAAGAAAGAUAAAUUAGGGAGUUGGGGUAACCAGGUAAUUUAGGCCAAUGGAUUCAACUGUGCCUUAAGCUGGUACUACCCUCAUUUAUGUGAGUCAAUCAAGUCCCCCUUUUUUGCUCAAGCUACUCUGAGUUGGGUUUUUAUCACUUGCAACCAAGAGUCACGACUAACAAACCCAUCCUACUGUUACCUCUUUUGCCUUGGCUCUGUAUUCCACACAGAUUUAAUCCUGGCGCUGAUAUAAUUUUGUUUAAAUAUUUCUUCACCAGCUUGCCUGUGAACUUACAGAAGGCAGACAUUUGUGUCUUUGCAUUCCCAGUACCUAGCACAUGGUAGACAUUCAGCGAACGUCUGCAGGGUGGAUCAUGCACCCAAUGUUGUCAACUCAUUUGAUGAUCAGCCCCCUUUCCCCCAACCAAAAAAAAAAGAUGUAAAAUGAAACAGCACAGAUCUUACUAGUGGGGAGAAAGGUGAAUGCCUCUAACGCUUUUAGAAAAAGGAUACCUUUGGGGAAACUAAGUGACUAACAAAUAAAAAUGGUUCUCUAAAAAUAGGAGAGCUGUCCCUGCAAGCUGAACUAUCAGAAGAUGAAGAAUGAGGUCUCCCUGAAAUGCCCACCAUAAGACUGCCAGAUAUGGGACUGCUGGAUGACACUCUGGCUACCCCACUGAGUUUUAUGAAAACAUAACAGAAUAAAGACACUUACUUGUCAACUCAGUUACAAGCUAUUGAGGCACUCCAGAGUGACGGCAUGUGAUCCCCCUGACACAAGAAACAGGCCCAGAUAACACACCGUUCAGACCGACAGCAGUUCUGGUUAUGCUGCAGUACAUCAGAAAAGUGCUCUUAUCCAUCCACAGUUCUUAUCACAGUUACUUAUGCAUAUAUUCAUUUUUUAUAUAAAAGAAUCUUGAAUCGGUCACUUAAAUAUUGAAUCUCAAUAAUAAAAAAUACUAAAAGUAUA